rnacentral:tRNA from 1 species
UGGGGUGUAGCUCAGUGGUAGAGCUCACACUUAGUAUGCACAAAGCCCUAAGUUCAAUCCUCAGCACCACAA